UACGUAGGUGGCAAGCGUUGUCCGGAAUUACUGGGCGUAAAGCGUGCGCAGGCGGUUUGUUAAGUCCGUUGUGAAAGCCCCGAGCUCAACUUGGGAAUUGCAGUGGAUACUGGCAGGCUGGAGUACGGUAGAGGAAGGUGGAAUUCCCGGUGUAGCAGUGAAAUGCGCAGAUAUCGGGAGGAACACCGGUGGCGAAGGCGGUUCUCUGGGCCUUACCUGACACUGAGGAGCGAAAGCGUGGGGAGCGAACAGG
rnacentral:rRNA from 1 species